UACGGGAGGGGGCGAGCGUUAUUCGGAAUUAUUGGGCGUAAAGGGCGCGUAGGCGGCUUGGCAAGUCAAAGGUGAAAUCCCUCGGCUCAACUGAGGAACUGCCUUUGAAACUGCCUGGCUUGAGGCCGGGAGGGGUAGCGGAAUUCCCAGUGUAGCGGUGAAAUGCGUAGAUAUUGGGAGGAACACCAGUGGCGAAGGCGGCUACCUGGACCGGUUCUGACGCUGAUGCGCGAAAGCGUGGGUAGCAAACAGG
rnacentral:rRNA from 1 species